AACGAACGCUGGCGGCGCGCCUAAUACAUGCAAGUCGAGCGAGAAGACGUAGCAAUACGUUUGUAAAGCGGCGAACGGGUGAGGAAUACAUGGGUAACCUACCCUCGAGUGGGGAAUAACUAGCCGAAAGGUUAGCUAAUACCGCGUACGCUCCUUGGACUUCGGUUCAGGGAGGAAAGCGAUACCGUGGGUAUCGCGCUCUUGGAUGGGCUCAUGUCCUAUCAGCUUGUUGGUGAGGUAACGGCUCACCAAGGCUUCGACGGGUAGCUGGUCUGAGAGGACGAUCAGCCACACUGGCACUGCGACACGGGCCAGACUCCUACGGGAGGCAGCAGUAAGGAAUAUUGCGCAAUGGGGC
rnacentral:rRNA from 1 species